GGGUGACAGAGCAAGAUUCGGUGACAAAGCAAGAUUCCAUCGCAAAAAUAAAGAAGGAAAAGGAAGGAAGGAAAGAAAGAAAGGGAAAGAGAGAGAGAAAGGAAGAGAAAGAAUGAAGAAAGAAAGAAUUUUUUGUUUUUACAAAUUUUGUGUAGCCUAAGUGUACAGUGUUUCUAAAGUCUACAGUAGUGUACAGUAAUAUCCCAGGCUUUCACAUUCACUCACCACUCACCAACUCACCCAGAGCAACUUCCCGUCCUGCAAGCUCCGUUCAUGUCUUUUAGAGUUGGCCCAAGGGGCCAUUAAUCACUCUGUCUGGAGCCGGGAGAGAACCCUCAGGAAAGAGGGGAAAGUGCAGCGAGCGGCUCUGCGAUGGCGGCGAUGAUGAAGGUGCUGUCCACCAGGCCGGAAGCAGGCGCAGACCCUGUCUUGGGAUGGAGAGCGCCAUUUCCCGCCUCACUGGCCUGCGCCUCAGGCACUCGAGGACAUCAAGCAAAAUUCACAGCCAGGCCGGGAACUCGAGGAACGCUGUAUUGAGGCACAGUGUGAAUGCCACAAGAUCAGUCCCCAGAGAAUCAACCUAGAAGCCUGAGUGCAAAUAUGGAAAAGGCCAAGCCCUGCCGAUCUCCCUGGACCCUUGGUAGAGGGAGCCCAGUGCCCCUUCCUGCUCUGCACCUUUCUGGCAGCCCAGUGCCAGGGCACCACCAGGCCCCUGCUGUGAGCCAAGCCCUUCUGCUCAUCCUUCCUUCAAAAAGACCAUUGGCCAGGCACAGUGGCUCACACCUGUAAUCCCAACAUAAUCCCAACACUUUGGGAGGCUGAGGUAGCAGAUCACUUGAGGCCAGGAGUUCAAGACCAGCCUGGUCAACAGGGUGAAACCCAUCUCUACUAAAAAUACAAAAAUUAGCCAGGUGUGGUGGUGCACGUCUGUAAUCCCAGCUACUUGGAAGGCUGAUGCAGGAGAAUCACUUGAACCCGGGAGGCAGAGGUUGCAGUGAGCUGAGAUCAUGCCACUGUACUGCAGCCUGGGUGACAGAGUGAGACUCUGUCUCAAAAAAAUAAAUAAAUGAAAUGAAAAUAAAAAUAUCCCAUCC
rnacentral:lncRNA from 10 species